rnacentral:rRNA from 1 species
CCUACGGGGGGCAGCAGUGAGGAAUAUUGGUCAAUGGACGAGAGUCUGAACCAGCCAAGUAGCGUGAAGGAUGACUGCCCUAUGGGUUGUAAACUUCUUUUAUAUGGGAAUAAAACGUUCCACGUGUGGGAUUUUGUAUGUACCAUAUGAAUAAGGAUCGGCUAACUCCGUGCCAGCAGCCGCGGUAAUACGGAGGAUCCGAGCGUUAUCCGGAUUUAUUGGGUUAAAAGGGAGCGUAGGUGGAUUGUUAAGUCAGUUGUGAAAGUUUGCGGGUCAACCGUAAAAUUGCAGUUGAAACUGGCAGUCUUGAGUACAGUAGAGGUGGGCGGAAUUCGUGGUGUAGCGGUGAAAUGCUUAGAUAUCACGAAGAACUCCGAUUGCGAAGGCAGUUCACUGGACUGCAACUGACACUGAGGCUCGAAAGUGUGGGUAUCAAACAGGAUUAGAUACCCUAGUAGUC